rnacentral:rRNA from 1 species
UACGUAGGGCGCGAGCGUUAUCCGGAAUUAUUGGGCGUAAAGGGCUCGUAGGCGGUUUGUCGCGUCGGGAGUGAAAACCUCGGGCUUAACUCGGGGCUUGCUUUCGAUACGGGCAGACUGGAGGUAUGCAGGGGAGAACGGAAUUCCUGGUGUAGCGGUGAAAUGACGCAGAGUAUCAGGAGGAACACCGGUGGCGAAGGCGGUUCUCUGGGCAUGACCUGACGCUGAGGAGCGAAAGUGUGGGGAGCGAACAGG